ensembl:miRNA
AGAGGCAGGCGGAUCUCUGUGAGUUCGAGGCCAGCCUGGUCUACAAAGUGAGUUCCAGGACAGCCUCCAAAACUACAGAGAAACCCUGUCUC